AGAGUUUGAUUAUGGCUCAGGAUGAACGCUGACAGAAUGCUUAACACAUGCAAGUCAACUUGAAUUUGGGUUUUUAACUUAGAUUUGGGUGGCGGACGGGUGAGUAACGCGUAAAGAACUUGCCUCACAGCUAGGGACAACAUUUAGAAAUGAAUGCUAAUACCUGAUAUUAUGAUAAUAGGGCAUCCUAUAAUUAUGAAAGCUAUAUGCGCUGUGAGAGAGCUUUGCGUCCCAUUAGCUAGUUGGAGAGGUAACAGCUCACCAAGGCGAUGAUGGGUAGCCGGCCUGAGAGGGUGAACGGCCACAAGGGGACUGAGACACGGCCCUU
rnacentral:rRNA from 1 species